rnacentral:rRNA from 1 species
CGGGUGAGUAAUGUAUGGGGAUCUGCCUGAUGGCGGGGGAUAACUACUGGAAACGGUAGCUAAUACCGCAUAACGUCGCAAGACCAAGAGGGGACCUUCGGGCCUCUUGCCAUCGGAUGUGCCCAGAUGGGAUUAGCUAGUAGGUGGGGUAACGGCUCACCUAGGCGACGAUCCCUAGCUGGUCUGAGAGGAUGACCAGCCACACUGGAACUGAGACACGGUCCAG